CUCCAAUAUCCUACAGUAAUCCAUGUGUAUGAGAGGCAGGAAGAGAGGUCACCUUGGACACACUGGGCUUCAAUGGCUUAUUUCCUCUCCUUCCCUGGCCUGAGCCCAGGGUACACAGUGCUGUGUGAUAUGGCUCCACAUGAAAGUCUGUGUCCCUGAUCCUGACCUUUCCUCUCUCCCUCCCCGUCUGUCUCUCUGUAGGACAUGUUGCCGAUGGCAGGAGACCCAACACAAGGAACAGCCAACUACAACAUUGAAGACUUUGCUGAUCUGGGCAUGUUCCCUCCCUUCUCCGAGUAGAACCCUUUAACGUUCUAUCAAUGGAACACUGCUCUGUUCUUCCACUAGAACCCUCUGAUAGAGGAAAAGGAAUAGAACACAAUGUGCUGGUUCCUUCAUGGCUCCCCAACCUCACCACACACUUUAUCACACAGUGAAUGUCCAGAUGCACCCUCUCAUAAACACACUCUGACACAUACCUGUUUCCUUUACGAGAAGAGAGUUGGUUCCUUCAUGGCUCCCCAACCUCACCACACACUUUAUCACACAGUGAAUGUCCAGAUGCACCCUCUCAUAAACACACUCUGACACAUACCUGUUUCCUUUACGAGAAGAGAGUUGGUUCUAUAGAAGACUGGUACAUUGCUAGUGGUGUGCUGACCUUUUCCUUUGUAAUAAUGUCUUCUUCAUUCACUUAAAUGAUGCCUGUUCUUUUAACAAAGGCUUGUGAAUUUAAAGGUGCAAUCUGUAACUUUCAUUUCCCCUAGUGGCAUCUUGAAGUACUACAAAAUAUGCCAAGAAGCAGUAAAAAAAUACAAAGCCUAGAAAAUUCACCAGUGCAGACACCCCCCUUUCGUUUGCAAACCAUUGCAGAGGCAGGCAGGACUUUUGGGGGGGAAACAAAAAUGACAGAUUGCACCUUUUAAGCUGCCAAUAUCCACUUUGCACUCCACUCUGCCAAACUGCUCCAGGCCAAGAGACACUCACCACGCUGAUCAAUGUUGGUACCAUCGAUACAUAUUAUCAUACAGGAUGCCACUGCUGCUCCUCCCUCAGUAUUACAUUAAGCUUUAUGCUGUAAAUUAUACCUAUAUGUAGUGAUGUUCAUAACACCUAGAUAAAACCUACGGAAGUCUAGAAGGAUUCUGUGUAGAAAAAAUAAAAAUAAAGAUUCCACUCACCGGCAAAAGUCGCUAAGCUACAAUGCUUAAGUGCACUUCAUCGAAGCUAACCGCUAAAACUCACCAGCUUGCUAAAAAGGGAAAAACCGCCAUACCGCCAAAGCAACGCAGUACAGUAUAUAUACUAGUUUAGUGUAUCCUUGUGGCUCUCGCUGCUCUACUUUAUAACUUUAUUAUAUUAUUCUCUUUCCUGAUUAUUAACAGAGACUGAAUUCUACUUUAUAGCGAGGGAACUUUUACAUGAUAGAUUGUGUACCGUGUCUCUGGUUAAUGACUGAUGGGACAGAAUGAUAGAUUGUGUACCGUGUCUCUGGUUAAUGACUGAUGGGACAGAUUCUACAACUGGAAUCCUUUUGCUAAAAAAAAAAUCUAAAAAUGUAUGUUUUUGUAAAUAAUGUGAUUUUUAUGUUGACUCGUUACUUUUACACAGUAUCCGUUGUUUUUUGUGUAGGUUUAUGUAGGUGUCAUCAAUGUGUGCAAUGUGAGUACAUAUUUAACUAUCGGUACUUAGUUUAGUCUUAAUUGUACAUUGAGUUUAAGGAAACUGUAUAAAAGUGUGUAAAUGUUACCCAUUAUUUUUGUUUAACACAUUUUUGUGCUUGUGAAAAUAAAUGUUUAUUGGUUACGUGGCUUCUAAUCAAAGAAGUGUUUCCGGGCAGAUUUUUGUGUCGUGGAAUAUAGUGUAGAAAUAAUAAACACAAAACCAUAAAGUGCAAGAAGAACAUUGGAGAACAUGGAGGAAACCAGGUUUUAUUUCUAAUGGUUCCAGACAAGUAAUAGUGUGCCAUUGUUUGAGACACAUCCUUGUCCGGUGUUUUUGUAAUGGAGACGAUCUCCAAUCUAGUCUAAAGAUUAGAUUUACCAAGGGAUAUGUUAGGUCUGUCUCUACUGGAGGUUUCUGUUUCUUGUCAAAACAUAUAGUCAUGAGAAGAUGUGUGUGUUUAUCACUCAUUCAUUGGAGUCCUCCCGAGCCCUGUCCUAGUGCCAGUAGCAACAGAGUGCCCUUCCUUUCUGGGAGGAAUCAGGGUGGACGUGAGGGAGGUGCUGAGUUGGGCUCUCUCCCAUAGUUCACAGUCUGAAGGUGUGUGUGCUUGAAUACUUACUUGUGUGUGGUGAUUUCGCAGGCAUGUCCCACUCUUUCCACACUAUCACUUCACACAAGACAAGAUGGGUGUGUGUCUGUUUUCCUUUAGGUGGAUCUGGUGGACUUACCGGGACAUGAGUCUGCAGAAAGAACAUCAAAAUGGCUGUUUCAAUGGUAAAAUGGCUACCUCUUCCUUUCUCUUUCCUUCACGAACACACUGAGAUGACUAGAUAUG
rnacentral:lncRNA from 13 species